GACAGAGGGUGCAAACGUUGUUCGGAAUUACUGGGCGUAAAGCGCGUGUAGGUGGCGAGGCAAGUCGGGUGUGAAAGCCCUGGGCUCAACCCAGGAAGUGCACUCGAUACUGCCUAGCUAGAGUCCCGGAGAGGUUGGUGGAACUCUCGGUGUAGAGGUGAAAUUCGUAGAUAUCGAGAAGAACACCGGUGGCGAAGGCGGCCAACUGGACGGUGACUGACACUGAGACGCGAAAGCGUGGGGAGCAACAGG
rnacentral:rRNA from 1 species